UGGGGAAUAUUGGACAAUGGGCGAAAGCCUGAUCCAGCCAUGCCGCGUGUGUGAAGAAGGUCUUCGGAUUGUAAAGCACUUUAAGUUGGGAGGAAGGGCAGUAAGCGAAUACCUUGCUGUUUUGACGUUACCGACAGAAUAAGCACCGGCUAACUCUGUGCCAGCAGCCGCGGUAAUACAGAGGGUGCAAGCGUUAAUCGGAAUUACUGGGCGUAAAGCGCGCGUAGGUGGUUCGUUAAGUUGAAUGUGAAAGCCCCGGGCUCAACCUGGGAACUGCAUCCAAAACUGGCGAGCUAGAGUAGGGCAGAGGGUGGUGGAAUUUCCUGUGUAGCGGUGAAAUGCGUAGAUAUAGGAAGGAACACCAGUGGCGAAGGCGACCACCUGGGCUCAUGCUGACACUGAGGUGCGAAAGCGUGGGGAGCAAACAGG
rnacentral:rRNA from 1 species